rnacentral:rRNA from 1 species
CAGUCGCCGCGGUAAUACGAAGGGUGCAAGCGUUACUCGGAAUUACUGGGCGUAAAGCGUGCGUAGGUGGUGGUUUAAGUCCGUUGUGAGAGCCCUGGGCUCAACCUGGGAAUUGCAGUGGAUACUGGGUCACUAGAGUGUGGUAGAGGAUAGUGGAAUUUCCGGUGUAGCAGUGAAAUGCGUAGAGAUCGGAAAGAACAUCUGUGGCGAAGGCGACUAUCUGGGCCAACACUGACACUGAGGCACGAAAGCGUGGGGAGCAAACAGGAUUAGAUACCCCAGUAGUCCCUGUCUCUUAUAC